UUCUGACAUCCACAUGGUAACAAGCACUGCUCAGAGCCAGCGGCAGUGCUGUUUCUGGCACAAAUCUUCCACCUGUCCAUGAGGGAAAGCACUACAGCGAGCUGCUGGUGCAUUGCAUGCCUGUCAGCUCUGGGUUAAACAGCCCUUGGAGAGCAAAUACAGUGCUGUAUGCAAUUGUGUACAUGUAUAUAUAUGUCUCUAUAUAUGUGUAUAUAAUGUUCUGUAGUAUGCAUAUAUGUUAUAUACAUAAGAGGUGAGAUUAAAGUAAGGAUUAACCCCAUUACGGUCAUUCAAAUAACAACAUAACAGUUCUUCAAGUGGGAAGCCCUUUGGAGAGAGAUUGUCUGUAUCAAGCACUUUCUUGUUAAUUGGUAAAAACCAGAGCUGGUGGCCUCGGCCCAGUGGCUGGGGCAGAGUAGGGGCAGCAGGGGGGCUGUGGUGGGUGCACACGAGGCUGUACCUGCCCCCUGCUCUGCUGGAGCUGGCCUGGGACCUGGGAGGGGGCUUCCAUGGCCUGCUCAGGCCUGAAGUAAAGCCACAGAGAGCAGGCCUGGAGCCACAGGUCGCAGCUCCUUGUGCUGGAGAUGUAAAAUAUAUCACUACCCACAACAAAGAUGAAGCUGCAGAUAUGAGACUGUCACAGUUUCCAGUGCUGAUUGCACUACUUCCAGAAAACGACAGCAAGCAAGGAACUCUCUAUCCAGGAUCCUCUGAUUUCCAUCAUCUGGACCUCUGUCUGUAUCUAUAUGAAGGAGUAAAGCAGUUUUUGCAAGAUAUUAAUUAUAUGUACUUAUAUAAGACCAUAAACAGUGGUUCUUCUGCGAACUAUACAUAUACAUAUAUACAUGUACAUAUAUACACAUACAUAUAUAUGUACAUAUAUAUAUAUAUUUUAAUGGCUGAAUCCGUGGUUAGGGAUUCUCUGCAGUGUUUUUGUAAGUUUUUUCUCCCCUUUUGGAGACACUGAUGGCUACAAGACAUAUUGCUGUGUUCAUGUAAAACAACAACAACAAACACACACAGAUUUAUUAACAGAUUUCUGACAAACAACGGCAUUUGCCAACUAAAACAGCCAAGAUCCAUCGUUAAAACUUUAACAAAGAACAGCCCUCUGUGGGAAAGCAAUGGAUGAUCCAAGUCAUUUUUACAAGCGCUGAUUCAAACUAUCAUUGCAUCCUUGGUUAAUGCGUUUUUUCCAUGAGUACAAGGGUGGGAGCUUGUUAAGGAUUACUGAACAGAACAUGCUACAAAUAAACCCUGAAGAAGGGACA
rnacentral:lncRNA from 1 species